GAGAAAAGGCGGUAGCUGCUGAAGAAAAAUUACCACCUUUAAUUAAACAAGUUGAAGAGCACCAUAUAAGAUUGGGAACGCACCAGGAAUUGCUAUCUGUCCUUGAGCUAAAGGAGAAACAGACCAAUUUAAGGAUCAGAGCAGUACCUGAGAUUGAGAAAGAGAGCCUGGUAGACUUUUUGACACAAGAAUUUGCCAAUUUUUGGCAAUUGAACGAUAAGGAAGAUUUUAAGAUAACGUCUGCUUUCAGGCUUGGAAGAGGAGCAAGAAAGAACAGAGUGAGAGACUGCCUGAUCACCUUGCGAUCGAAGGAGGAACGAGAUAAAAUUUUGAGUUCACACUACCGAAAUACACUGAUAAUACAAGACUCAAGGAUAGAAAUAUUCAAAGACAUUCCAAAGCUCCUUUUGGAGCUUAGGUCCAACUAUCGGGACCUGGUGACGCUGCUGAGAGGAAACAGAAUUUUCUUCAGGUGGGAAUUUCCUCAAGGCCUAUCUUUCAGUUUUAAAGGC